CAUUGUGUAAGCAUUGAAACUUGAUGAGCUCGCGUAAAAAAACUUAUCUUCUGAUUAUUUUUUCUGCGACUUUCUUGUCUGAUCGGAUCUUUUGUCUUGUUCACAGAUAGAAUUGGUUGACAUGCACUACGGAACGGGAGAAGAUCCUUUGAACGAUCCUUUCCAGUUUGAAGAACACAUGUUAGAGAUCGAGAAAUGCAAGACUGUUUCUCGAGGGUGCUUUUUUUUGAGUUUAGUAGGAAAUGGAUGGAAAGAUUGUCCACCUCCGGUAACAUUGCACGAGUCGCAUUUUAUACAAAUAAGAAACACCGCUCAAAACUUAAAUUUAUGCACAGACGCUUUAGAUCAUCAUUACAACUUCAGUUCGGAGCUGAAACAGUACAAAUUGAACUCAUCAAUAGAAUCGCAUCAAGUAAAAGAAAUCAAUAGAAUACUUAGAAAUGCUGCGAUAGAAUUAGAAAAAAUUAAGUCGAAUAUCAAUCCACAGCUCACACGAUCAGCUGUAGAGCAUCACUUUCAUGAAGCCUUAGGUUUAGAUAAAGAACACAUGUUAUCGAUAGUCAGAGAAUUUGACGGAAGACCACCUGAUAAACCUUCCUACGAAAAGAUCGUCUAGACAAGUUUAAAACUUUCAUUUCAAGUGCCAUUCCUCAAGAAAAUCAAAUGACAAUCAAGUAAGUAUUAAUAAAUUCCUAAAGAUUUAUCAGUAUAUCGUAAAAUGAUGUCGUAUUGAUUCGAAUGUGCUGUACAAAAUUUGCAGCUAAUGGUCAAUCAAUGUGCUUAUUUCAAAGUAAACUUAAUAGGAACUCCCCAAAAAAAUAUGUUUAUGUAUAAUAUAUUUUUAAUCUCUGUUUUGGAGAAAGUGUGAAACUACAUUGAAAACAUUGCUCAAAAUCUAAAAAUGGAUCAAACCUCUUUUGUAAGAAUUUUCAAUUUUUUCUUUCUUUUUUCAGAGUACCUUGGAUGAACGGGAACAUUGAUCCUGACUGUUCAGAACACGAUACUUAUUUGACUGAAUUUCAAGAAAACGUAAUGUUGAGAUUGCAACAUUUCAUCAAUCAAAGUAUUGAGCUCAAACCAGAGCUGAACGCUCGCAAUAAAGCAAUUCAGGUAAUUAAAGAUGGGACUUUAACCAAUGAAAAUUGUGGAAUACAACAUUUUCGAGAUUCUCAAACAACCAUGAGGUUUUGAAAAUUUGAAGAAACGAGCGGAAAAAAGCUUUUAAAAUUAUUAUUCUAAGUUUAAUUUUUCGUGUGAAUGCACACGAAUUAUACCAACCGUUUUUGUUCUACUUAAAACCAUUAAAUAUACCAGAUAACAUAAUUGUGAAUUCAGCCAUGCUCAUCUCUAUUGUGCCUUCCGUUUACGCUCGAAAGAGAUGUCUGUGCGCCUUCAAAUCGUGCGCAUGCCACAUUGACAUCUCUGAAGCACGAGAAUUGUAUGAAGGCGCUGUAUAGCACCAGCGUUUGAGUAUUUUGUGUCCGAUGG
rnacentral:lncRNA from 1 species